ensembl:lincRNA
UACAGAUUCACACUUCUGUGUAGUUAUUGGAUCUCCUUUGAAGUCAGUUGUCAUAUUUCACAUUUCUGAAAUAGUAACUUGUUUCUGUAUAUUUUAGACUAGGUAGCCCACAGGCUUUCAGAGAGUAUCCUGAAUACCUCCCAUUUUCUGGAGGAACACAUGAAUUCCAUGCAUGUGAUACCAUGUAUGAUUGUUCUUGGAUGAUGAAGACUCAAAUAAGACUAUCACCCAUUUGUGGCUACUACUUUUUUCAGACUUUGGUACAGUUCAAAAAGAUACUAGCCCAUACACUUCACCACAUGAUGGAAGAUACUGAACUGUGUGGAGAGAAGUAGAGCAGGAAAAGGAAACACAUGGUGAGACUGAGAAAGACCUGAGUCCUCAAGGAGAUGCAAUAGACUGUCUUCACACUAUUCGUAAUCCAUGUAUUGAAACCCAAAUAAUAAAGUGUGGACAAAUAAAGACAGUGUCUUUCUGAGCCCCUGGAUCAUGAGCACUGGAUAUCAGAUUGGUAUAUUAAACAAGAGUUGAAAGGCAGUAUGCCUCUACCACCUACAUGUCCUUUCAUGACAAUAUGGAUGGCAAUGCAUGCACAAAUUGAUAAGGAAUUCUAUGGGACACAACAUCUGCCAGACUUCUUUCCUCUAG